CGGGUGAGUAAUGCGUGACCAACCUGCCCCAUGCUCCAGAAUAGCUCUUGGAAACGGGUGGUAAUGCUGGAUGCUCCAACUUGACGCAUGUCUUGUUGGGAAAGUGUUUAGUGGCAUGGGAUGGGGUCGCGUCCUAUCAGCUUGUAGGCGGGGUAAUGGCCCACCUAGGCUUCGACGGGUAGCCGGCCUGAGAGGGCGGACGGCCACAUUGGGACUGAGACACGGCCCAGACUCCUACGGGAGGCAGCAGGA
rnacentral:rRNA from 1 species